UGGUAGGCAUGAAGUUGCCUGUGCAGA
rnacentral:piRNA from 1 species